rnacentral:rRNA from 1 species
GAUGAACGCUGGCGGCGCGCUUAACACAUGCAAGUCGAACGGUGAAGCAGGAGCUUGCUCUUGUGGAUCAGUGGCGAACGGGUGAGUAACACGUGAGCAACCUGCCCCUGACUCUGGGAUAAGCGCUGGAAACGGCGUCUAAUACUGGAUAUGUGAUGUGACCGCAUGGUCUGCAUCUGGAAAGAAUUUCGGUAGGGGAUGGGCUCGCGGGCUAUCAGCUUGUUGGUGAGGUAAUGGCUCACCAAGGCGUCGACGGGUAGCCGGCCUGAGAGGGUGACCGGCCACACUGGGACUGAGACACGGCCCAGACUCCUACGGGAGGCAGCAGUGGGGAAUAUUGCACAAUGGGCGGAAGCCUGAUGCAGCAACGCCGCGUGAGGGAUGACGGCCCUCGGGUUGUAAACCUCUUUUAGCAGGGAAGAAGCGAAAGUGACGGUACCUGCAGAAAAAGCACCGGCUAACUACGUGCCAGCCGCCGCCGUAA